GCCCUACGGGUUGUAAACUGCUUUUAUACGGGAAGAAUAAUCACGACGUGUCGUGGGAUGACGGUACCGUAAGAAUAAGGACCGGCUAACUCCGUGCCAGCAGCCGCGGUAAUACGGAGGGUCCGAGCGUUAUCCGGAAUUAUUGGGUUUAAAGGGUCCGCAGGCGGGCUUAUAAGUCAGGGGUGAAAUGGUGCGGCUCAACCGUAGCACUGCCCUUGAUACUGUUAGUCUUGAGUUAUGGUGGAGUGGCCGGAAUAUGUAGUGUAGCGGUGAAAUGCAUAGAUAUUACAUAGAACACCGAUCGCGAAGGCAGGUCACUAACCAUAUACUGACGCUGAUGGACGAAAGCGUGGGGAGCGAACAGGAUUAGAUACCCUGGUAGUCCACGCCGUAAACGAUGGAUACUAGCUGUCGGGAUUUCGAUCUCGGCGGCCAAGCGAAAGUGAUAAGUAUCCCACCUGGGGAGUACGUUCGCAAGAAUGAAACUCAA
rnacentral:rRNA from 1 species